rnacentral:rRNA from 1 species
UACGGAGGGGGCUAGCGUUGUUCGGAAUUACUGGGCGUAAAGCGCACGUAGGCGGCUUUGCAAGUUAGAGGUGAAAGCCCGGGGCUCAACCCCGGAACUGCCUUUGAAACUAGAUUGCUAGAAUCCUGGAGAGGUGAGUGGAAUUCCGAGUGUAGAGGUGAAAUUCGUAGAUAUUCGGAAGAACACCAGUGGCGAAGGCGACUCACUGGACAGGUAUUGACGCUGAGGUGCGAAAGCGUGGGGAGCAAACAGG